rnacentral:rRNA from 1 species
UACGAAGGGGGCUAGCGUUGUUCGGAUUUACUGGGCGUAAAGCGCGUGUAGGCGGGUCGUUAAGUUGGGGGUGAAAUCCCGAGGCUCAACCUCGGAACUGCCUCCAAAACUGGCGACCUGGAGCAGAUGAGAGGCGAGUGGAAUUCCGAGUGUAGAGGUGAAAUUCGUAGAUAUUCGGAGGAACACCAGUGGCGAAGGCGACUCGCUGGCAUCUUGCUGACGCUGAGACGCGAAAGCGUGGGGAGCAAACAGG